CUUACCGGAGGCUGUAUGGACCCUGAUCCCACACCUCUCCCGCGACGGAGAGCAAUAACCAUCCGGUAAGCCAGUUUUUUCACUGCCUUAGCGGAUCUGUAAGGCAGUGACGUCUU
rnacentral:ncRNA from 2 species